UUGGCACUAGGAGCCGAUGAAGGACGUGAUAAGCUGCGAUAAGCUUCGGGGAGUUGCACGUAAACUUUGAUCCGAAGAUUUCCGAAUGAGGAAACUCACUUAGAGUAAUGUCUAAGUAUCAUUAAGUGAAUACAUAGCUUAAUGAGGGGAACUCAGGGAACUGAAACAUCUAAGUACCGGAAGGAAGAGAAAGAAAUUCGAUUCCGUAAGUAGCGGCGAGCGAACGCGGAUUAGCCCAAACCAAU
rnacentral:rRNA from 1 species